GUCCAAUUUGUAUCGUUCUUUAAUUCGCUAGGAAAAGAAGUUUUAAAUAACGUACAAUGAUUUAUGUUAACUGUGAAAUAUCUCCACAAAGAGCGUUUCAACGAAGCCCGUUUGACGAUGAAAUUAAUUACAAACCAAUGUAACGAUAACAAGAACGGAGGGAGCACUCUUGAAAGGGCUUCGGCCAGUUUCAAAGUGUAACGGAGCUUCUUCGAGAACUUUUACGUCCGAAAACUUCUCGCGAGCCAACGAAGUUCUCUGGGGAACUUUUACUAGACUUUUUCAAGAACUUUAAAUUAUUCAAAGUGGGACCGAUGAACCUAUAGUCUCCAGCUCAAAGCUGAUACUAGAUAACUCUAAUCUCCUUAUGACGUGAAAUUGAAAUUUACUAUUACAGAGAAAAAUAGCAGUAAAUGUACAUAAUUUCAUGGUACACUUCAGAAUUAAUUACUGGACCUCGAUCAUUA